rnacentral:rRNA from 1 species
CGUUGUCCGGAAUUAUUGGGCGUAAAGAGCUUGUAGGUGGCUCGUCGCGUCGGGUGUGAAAACCCGCGGCUUAACCGCGGGCCUGCUUUCGAUACGGGCGGGCUAGAGUUCGGCAGGGGAGACUGGAAUUCCUGGUGUAGCGGUGGAAUGCGCAGAUAUCAGGAGGAACACCGGUGGCGAAGGCGGGUCUCUGGGCCGAUACUGACACUGAGAAGCGAAAGCGUGGGGAGCGAACAGG